rnacentral:rRNA from 1 species
AUGUUGGAGACAAAUAUAACAUCAAUGUUGCUGGAAGAGAAUGCCCGUAAGAGAAAGUCGGAUGAUGUGGCAUGGGAGUAUGGGAGUCUAGCCGAUGUUUCCAACAAGGACAAAGUGAAGUGUUUGUUUUGUAACCAUGUGAUCAUUGGAGGUGUUUAUCGUCACAAGCAGCAUGUCGCUCACGUUGGUAAUUUUGUGGCUAAAUGCAAGAAAAGCUCGCAGGAAGCUAAAGAUAGGUGCAGGAAAUCUCUUGAGGAGGCAUCUAAGAAGAGGAGGGAAAAGACUUCCCGUGAGCUAGAGCUCAGAGAAGGCGUGAAUAUUUCUCGUGUUGGGAUGCUUAAGUUACUUGUAUUGGAAGCGCCGAGCCACACAAGAUAG